CCAAAGCUGGCGACCGGCGCACGGGUGAGUAACAUGUAUCCAACCUGCCUCAUACUCGGGGAUAGCCUUUCGAAAGAAAGAUUAAUAUCCGAUAGCAUAUAUUUCCCGCAUGGGUUUUAUAUUAAAGAAAUUCGGUAUGAGAUGGGGAUGCGUUCCAUUAGUUUGUUGGGGGGGUAACGGCCCACCAAGACUACGAUGGAUAGGGGUUCUGAGAGGAAGGUCCCCCACAUUGGAACUGAGACACGGUCCAA
rnacentral:rRNA from 1 species